AUGAUGGCUACCAGAGCACUUAGCUUAAUUGGCAAGAGAGCCAUUUCUACUUCGGUAUAUGUCCUGAUCACACGGGAGUGUUAUAAAGAGUGAAGACUAUGCUCUCCCUGGUUGUGUUGAUAUGCAUGACCACCCAUGCCUGGUGUGGCCCAUGUCAGGCUGCUGUCUGCCAGCUAGAAAGCCCUGAAGGAGAAGGCUGGCCUGCAGCAGCCUGUCCAGCCAUGACAAAGUCCAAUUGUACUGCAUCCAGUUUAACAAGAGCUUUGCUAAGAUGAACAGGAGCACCAAUGAGUGGAAAACUCUUGUGGGCGUGGCCAUGUUUUUCAUGGGAUUCAUGCUCUAAUUCUGAUGUGGGAGAAACACCAUGGGUACAGCCCCAUCCCUCAUAGCUUUGAUGGAGACUGGGUGGCUAUGCAAAGCCAGCAGAUGCUGGACAA
rnacentral:lncRNA from 1 species